UACGGAGGGUGCAAGCGUUGCUCGGAAUUAUUGGGCGUAAAGGGUAGGUAGGUGGUCUCAUUUGUCUGGGGUGAAAGCCUUGAGCUUAACUCAAGAAGUGCCCCAGAAACGGUGAGACUGGAGUCCUGGAGAGGGUCGUGGAAUUCCCGGUGUAGCGGUGAAAUGCGUAGAGAUCGGGAGGAAGGCCGGUGGCGAAGGCGGCGCUCUGGAACAUUUCUGACGCUGAGGCUCGAAAGCGUGGGGAGCAAACAGG
rnacentral:rRNA from 1 species